ACGGAAGGCAGCAGUGGGGAAUAUUGCACAAUGGGGGAAACCCUGAUGCAGCGACGCCGCGUGAGCGAAGAAGUAUUUCGGUAUGUAAAGCUCUGUCAGCAGGGAAGAAAAUGACGGUACCUGACUAAGAAGCCCCGGCUAACUACGUGCCAGCAGCCGCGGUAAUACGUAGGGGGCAAGCGUUAUCCGGAUUUACUGGGUGUAAAGGGAGCGUAGACGGCAAGGUAAGUCUGAAGUGAAAUGCCGGGGCCCAACCCCGGAACUGCUUUGGAAACUAUCUCGCUCGAGUACCGGAGGGGUAAGCGGAAUUCCUAGUGUAGCGGUGAAAUGCGUAGAUAUUAGGAGGAACACCAGUGGCGAAGGCGGCUUACUGGACGGUAACUGACGUUGAGGCUCGAAAGCGUGGGGAGCAAACAGGAUUAGAUACCCUGGUA
rnacentral:rRNA from 1 species